GGCUCGUCACCAUCAGGGCUCCCUGGGAUGUAAGUCAGAGCUCCUCAGUGCCAGAGGGAUGCGGGCCAAGAAUAAAAACGCGAAUGUUGUAUUAAAUGCAGCUGAAGAAACGAGGGACUGAAAAGGCAGAUUUCCCAGUGUGCCUCAUGGUCUUCCCCCAUUUGACUCAUUUACUCACUGCGGGUUUCUUUUUCUCCACUCUUUUCUUAUUAUGGAAACUUUCAAAGACACAGGAAAGUUCACUAUUUUAGGGAAAUCUAGCAAACGCCCCAGGAGGGCCUCUCUGAUUUUGCCCAACUUCUCUGGACUGCCUGAUAGAGCUUGCCCUCUGGGGACUAUCACAAUCGGGACUAAAUUAGGGCCCCUGCUCCCAAGGGUUUUUAUUCUAGCUGGGGAGAGAAGUCACUAAUGGAAACUUUUUUUUCCCU
rnacentral:lncRNA from 1 species